GGUGGAUCACGAGGUCAGAAGAUCGAGACCAUCCUGGCUAACACGUAAUCCAGUCCCUCAUAGCACUGGUGAAUGACCCCCAGCCCAAGCACCCGCUUCGGGCUGACCUAGCUGAAGAAUACUCUAAGGACCGUAAAAAAUUCUGUAAGAAUGCUGAAGAGUUUACAAAGAAAUAUGGGGAAAAGCGACCUGUGGACUAAAAUCUGCCACGAUUGGUUCCAGCAAGUGUGAGCAGAGACCCCGUGCAGUGCAUUCAGACACCCCGCAAAGCAGGACUCUGUGGAAAUUGACACGUGCCACCGCCUGGCGUUCGCUUGUGGCAGUUACUAACUUUCUACAGUUUUCUUAAUCAAAAGUGGUCUAGGUAACCUGUAAAGAAAGGAUUAAAAAUUUAAGAUGUUCUAGUUCUGCUCUCUUUGUUUUAAAAAUCACUGCUUCAAUCUACUUCAAAAG
rnacentral:lncRNA from 1 species